rnacentral:lncRNA from 1 species
AAAACUUAACAUAUUAUAGACUCAUUUUAAUUUAAAAGCACGAUCAUGUAUAUUUUUAUGAAAUUAUUUAAAUAUGAAAAUAAACUAAUUGUUGAAAUAAAUGAUUUAAAAACCUCUCCUUCACAAUACUAGAAAUUAACCUAAACGAUAGAAAAUAAUGUGUUUGCUUUGUUAUAUAUGUAGAUAAAACUGUUAGUAAUUGGCCACUUUCCGUCCUGUGGCAUUUCUGUAAAAAAAUACAGGUUGUCACAAUACUAAUUUCAAAAUUAAACUGACUUAAGAUUAUAACCAUAAAAGCAUGUGUCAUUGAUAAGUUUGGUCCAAAGUACAAGUUGUUAUAUUACAUGAACAUUAAUUGUAUUGAGAUUAAGAUAUUUUGUAAAUCUAACACAAAUUGAAAAAAAUAGAUUGAUAUGUUUAUAACCAAUAAGUACCUCUAUAAUCUUUCUGACAACUAUGCAAAUUUUGGUCUUUAUCACUUAUAUGACAUUAACUAAGACUAUACAUAUGCUUUACCACAAACAUAUUUUCGUAUGUUAUUGCGAAUAUAACAUUUCAUAAUGUAUUUAACUUGAGAUGUUAUAAUAUGUGAAUAGGAAAAAGUUAGAAAAUUGUGUAAAUAAAUAUAUUCGAGGUCUGAUAAAAGAAAAGUGAUUCAACCAACUAGAUCGGAUAUAUGCCUCCUUGAAGUCUCGAAUAUCGUUAAUCCAUCUUUAUCAACAAUAUAUAAUUCUGGUAUUGCAGUCACACGUACGAUUUUUUAGUAAUCUCGAUAAACAGUUGGUGUUUAUGUUUAAUUUAUUUAGGUUUACUAAAUUUAUCUUUUUAUAUAAACUAGUUUCAUUCAGAGCAUGUCAAGAUAUUCAUAAUAAAUUUAAAACAAGUAAUUUUUCAAAACGAACUUUGUCCAAUAAAAUAAUUGUCAGAAUAUAUGAGGUUCAAAUGAAGCUGGUGUGUUACUACAAAGAACAAAAUAGGAAACCUUCUUAUAAAUUGCAUGGCACAGAAUUGCAUUUCACAUGGAAGUUAGACUUUCAAUUUCUCUAUACCACCUCUAUUAUGAGUACAGACAGCUUCAAUAAUGAGUUUCAAAAUAAUUGAAUGCAUUCAGGAAACAAACAUAAAGAUAUGAAAUAUCAAAUUAAUGCAAUCAGAUUAUAAACAAACUGGGUACUGAAAUUUAUACAGCUAUUUGUCAUAGACAUCCGGUUUAAAGAAACUGGAAUUUACAUUAGGAUAAGGACUUUCCUU